rnacentral:rRNA from 1 species
GACGAACGCUGGCGGCGUGCCUAAUACAUGCAAGUAGAACGCUGAAGGAGGAGCUUGCUCUUCUGGAUGAGUUGCGAACGGGUGAGUAACGCGUAGGUAACCUGCCUGGUAGCGGGGGAUAACUAUUGGAAACGAUAGCUAAUACCGCAUAACAGUAGAUGCUGCAUGACAUUUGCUUAAAAGGUGCAAUUGCAUCACUACCAGAUGGACCUGCGUUGUAUUAGCUAGUUGGUGGGGUAACGGCUCACCAAGGCGACGAUACAUAGCCGACCUGAGAGGGUGAUCGGCCAAACUGGGACUGAGACACGGCCCAGACUCCUACGGGAGGCAGCAGUAGGGAAUCUUCGGCAAUGGACGGAAGUCUGACCGAGCAACGCCGCGUGAGUGAAGAAGGUUUUCGGAUCGUAAAGCUCUGUUGUAAGAGAAGAACGAGUGUGAGAGUGGAAAGUUCACACUGUGACGGUAUCUUACCAGAAAGGGACGGCUAACUACGUG